rnacentral:rRNA from 1 species
UACGGAGGGUGCGAGCGUUGUCCGGAAUCACUGGGCGUAAAGGGCGCGUAGGCGGCCUGAUAAGUAGGGGGUGAAAUCCUGCGGCUUAACCGCAGGGCUGCCUUCUAAACUGUCAGGCUUGAGCACAGUAGAGGCAGGUGGAGUUCCCGGUGUAGCGGUGGAAUGCGUAGAGAUCGGGAAGAACAUCAGUGGCGAAGGCGGCCUGCUGGGCUGUUGCUGACGCUGAGGCGCGACAGCGUGGGGAGCAAACAGG